rnacentral:lncRNA from 1 species
CUAAUCCCAAAUAAUAAUAAUAAUGACAACAAUAGUGGUGAUAAUGGAGGGCUUCGUGUGUGGAAAGUGCGGUUCAAUCCCUAAAGGUCCAGGAACUCGACAGAAGAUUCUGAUAAGUAUUAUUAUCUCUUGGGAGGGCAGCAGGUUUACCUUGUGGGCAAAUACUAUGUCAGGAGAUAAAGCACCUGAUAGGUAGGGAGAACAGGUAAUAAUGAUGUUAGCAAAGGCUAAAGCCUGUAGUCAGGGAAAAGGACAAACAUGUUUGGAAAACUGGGGUUGAAGGAGAACUCGACUCCCCUGUUUCUCUGUGGGCAGGCAUUACCAGCAGCAAACAAGAGUGCAGGCUCAUGUUUUAAGGUAAAGCGAUGAGCACUGUCUGGGAGGCCCUUUGCUCUGUGGGUGUGCUGAGAACAUCUGGUCUGCAGAGGGCAUGCUCAGGGCCUCUGGUGUCUGGCAGGUAAGGCUAAUGGGCACACAGGGUCAAGUGUAAGGCCAGCAUCGUUCCAGUAAAAGGCGAUAAAGACAACACAUGGCAACCUGUGCUUGCUUUCGGUACUGGGCAUGACAAGGAGGGGUGAGGACUAUACAGACUAGAAACAGAGAACCCUGUUCUACUCAGACUCAACCAAUGCGGGUUGCCAGAUUUUCCAAUUUUGGAAACAGGAAAUCCAUUAAAAAAAACCAAAAGCAAACUCUUACAUUUGAAAUAUUGGUAACAACUUUGAGCAUUUUCAAAUGUUGUGUGUGCCUAUGGUCUGUCUGAUUGGGAUUUCACUCCUAAGGCAAUCCUUCACAUCUCUCAAAUUUUAAAGAUGUUUAGUCUCAUUAUGCACAUGGAAUCGGAUGAGACAGAGCUGGC